UUCGGCGUUUCACCUCCAUCUCUUCCGCUCUUGGCAUUUCAUACUCCGAGAACACUCCUCGGCGCCUGUGCUUUUCUCGGCUCCGAGAACACUCUUCCCACAGCGGCGCGACUGUGGUUGUGGUUUAGGCUACAGAGAGAAGGAGAGCUAGGUUAGGGGAAGGCGAAGGCCAAAAAACUGAAAGCACUGUUUCUACGGUUUGAAUUAGUAGUUAUAGAACCUUCAGAGACUGCUGUUUCCGCUGCCUCUUCGUCGAAAUGUCCGAAGUCUGAGCAAAUUGGUGGGGAAAUUAGCAGCGUUAGCAUGAGAGAGGAGGAGGAGAGAGCCUUUAAUGCCGAAUCGGAGAAUUUUGAAGAGAGGUUUGUCAUCACCAGGAAGCGUAUGUGAGAAGAGCUGUUCUUUUUGCUGCCUCAUGUGUAUUGGUUUCCCUUCACCCUACUUCCAUUUCAUCUGCCUUGCUCGAUGGAAAUGUUGAAAUUUCUAUUGGUCUUGAAUAGAUUCGCACAUGGGCCCUUAUUUAGCUGAGUUAGACACAGAUAAAGAAUGCUAUACGAUGACUAUGACAUGUCUACAACUACAUCUCCAAACUUCCCGAGCUUUGCAGUCAACAAGAAGUUCACUCAAGGUAGGCCCUGCACUUACAUCUGGCACAUCCAAUGUUACCAUUAAAAUUCCCUACAAUUCCCAACUUAAAUUGGGAUUAGAGAUGCUUUCGGCUAUUGUGAGUGGCUUCUAGCCCAACAUAUAAAUUUUUUAAUGAUAUAUCUUCCAUGGAAGCUGGAGAUAUUGAAGACCUUAGAAGGAACUGAACUUCUUUUAUUUUAGGUGUUAGUAGAAAUUUGGUUACAAUUCAAUAGUAU